UACGUAGGGCGCAAGCGUUGUCCGGAAUUAUUGGGCGUAAAGAGCUCGUAGGCGGCCUGUCGCGUCUGCCGUGAAAGCCCGUGGCUUAACUGCGGGUCUGCGGUGGAUACGGGCAGGCUAGAGGCUGGUAGGGGCAAGCGGAAUUCCUGGUGUAGCGGUGAAAUGCGCAGAUAUCAGGAAGAACACCCGUGGCGAAGGCGGCUCUCUGGAACGCAACUGACGCUGAGACGCGAAAGCGUGGGGAGCAAACAGG
rnacentral:rRNA from 1 species